rnacentral:rRNA from 1 species
AUUGAACGCUGGCGGCAGGCCUAACACAUGCAAGUCGAACGAGUGGCGGACGGGUGAGUAAUGUCUGGGAAACUGCUUGAUGGAGGGGGAUAACUACUGGAAACGGUAGCUAAUACCGCAUACCAUCGGAUGUGCCCAGUUGGGAUUAGCUAGCAGGUGGGGUAAAGGCUCAACUAGGCGACGAUCCCUAGCUGGUGUGAGAGGAUGACCAGCCAAACUGGAACUUAGACACGGAACAGACUGCUAGUAGAGGCACAAGGGGGGAAUAUUGGAAAAGGGGCGCAAGCCUGAUGCAGCCAUGCCGCGUGUAUGAAGAAGGACUUAGGGUUGUAAAGUACUUUCUGCUGAUAUGCGUUACCCGCAGAAGAAGCACCGGCGAACUCCGUGCCAGCAGCCGCGGAGAUAC